UACGUAGUGGGCAAGCGUUGUCCGGAAUCAUUGGGCGUAAAGCGCGUGUAGGCGGCCCGGUAAGUCCGCUGUGAAAGUCGGGGGCUCAACCCUCGAAUGCCGGUGGAUACUGUCGGGCUAGAGUGCGGAAGAGGCGAGUGGAAUUCCUGGUGUAGCGGUGAAAUGCGCAGAUAUCAGGAGGAACACCAAUUGCGAAGGCAGCUCGCUGGGACGUGACUGACGCUGAGGUGCGAAAGCGUGGGGAGCAAACAGG
rnacentral:rRNA from 1 species